GCCCCUACUGAAUGUGCCACUGCCGGACAUCAUCUCUCAUUUAGGAAAUGGAGGAAAAAUUUAAAAUCCAAUCCCUGGACUGAAUAUUACAGUGGAGUCAAACCAAAUCAAUCUGAGCAUCUCCUCUGCUGCAGUGACAGACUCUGCUGUGUUCUACUGUGCUGUGAGGCCCACAGUGACAGGAAACACCAACACUCUGUACACAAACACCAGCUGACACACUGACAAGCUGCUGGAAGCCUUUUCUCCACACUGUUGUACUGAGCUGUUCACCUCCACUAGAGGGCCACAUUAUCAAGUAGGCGGUGCACGUCUUCUGCACUGUGUUCAACCAUCCAGUCAAUAAUAAGUGCUGCUGUGAAGAGAACCAUCCUCACACUGAAUGCUGAACAUCAGCUACUUCCUGCUGCUGAUUUAAACCUUGUUGUAGAGAUGGAACAUUGGCUGUGGAUUAUUCUUGCUGCUCUCUCCUUUGAGUGUAAAGGACAAGACACAGUGACCCAGCCAGCAGGAGAUGUCAGCGCUACUGAAGGAGACACAGUUACACUUGGCUGCACAUUUCAGACCUCUUAUACAGCCUAUCUGUUCUGGUACAAACAAGAAGUCAAUGGUUACCCAAAGUACAUGCUGAUGCGUUGGACAGGAACUGGAGAGAAUGCUGAAGAGUUCAAGAAAGACAGAUUUGAUGCUACAUUCAACAAUAAAUCAGUUCCUCUGCAGAUCUCCUCUGCUGCAGUGACAGACUCUGCUGUGUACUACUGUGCUCUGAGGCCCACAGUGACAGGAAACACCACAACUCUGUACAAAAACCUUUGGAGCAAAGACAACACAGUACUGCACAGCAUCCACCAGAGGGAGUCUCUCUCUGUCAGACUUCAGCAGAGUUUAUCAGUCCUCUUUAUACUCGCUGUAGCUCAGAGUUUCUCAACCUGCAGAUAUGAUGCAUCUGAUUAUCUCAGUGUUGCUGGCUGCUAUGAGUCUUGGUAUGAACUCUUUGAUAUCAGUCUAACAUUGAGAUGAUUCUCUAACAUGGCCCUGAUACUGUUUGUUGCUGUUUUACAGAAUGCAGAGCCCAAAGAGACAACGUGCUGCAACCUGAAGCAGGGGGGUGCUAGUGGACUAAACGGCGGAUAAACUGCGGCGCAUAAGCGCAUAAUAGUGUGCCGCAUUUGUGCUUCAGAUGAGGAGGUGAGGCCCCCUAAUAACUGCAUGAACCCGUAUGGCACAAUACAACUCAAA